AGGACGAACGCUGGCGGCGUGCUUAACACAUGCAAGUCGAGCGGAAAGGCCCUUCGGGGUACUCGAGCGGCGAACGGGUGAGUAACACGUGAGUAAUCUGCCCCUAGCUCUGGGAUAGCUCCGGGAAACCGGGAUUAAUACCAGAUACGACCACUUUAGACAUCUUCUGUGGUGGAAAGAACUUCGGCUAGGGAUGAACUCGCGGCCUAUCAGCUUGUUGGUGAGGUAACGGCUCACCAAGGCGACGACGGGUAGCCGGCCUGAGAGGGCGACCGGCCACACUGGGACUGAGACACGGCCCAGACUCCUACGGGAGGCAGCAGUGGGGAAUAUUGCGCAAUGGGCGAAAGCCUGACGCAGCGACGCCGCGUGGGGGAUGAAGGCCUUCGGUUGUAACCCCUUCAGCAGGGACGAAGCGAAAGUGACGGUACCUGCAGAAGAAGCGCCGGCUAACUACGUGCCAGCAGCCGC
rnacentral:rRNA from 1 species